rnacentral:miRNA from 1 species
UGAAGCUGCCAGCAUGGUCAAUCAGAUGCUGUCUGUGGCCAAGGUCCACAUCGCCCACUGCUGGAGCUCACUGCCUUUGAG